rfam:Schistocephalus solidus strain NST_G2 genome assembly, scaffold: SSLN_scaffold0011414
AUGUCUGUGGUGAAAUACCCGCCGGUUUAGGCGAGUGUUAGGUGGUGCUUUGCGAGAACAGGGUCCGUCGGUUUGUGGUGACCAAGCGUUCAUAGCGACGUCGUUUUUUGAUCCAUCGAUGUCGGCUCUUCCUAUGAUUGUGAAGCAGAAUUCACCAAGCGUUGGAUUGUUCACCCAAAAAUAUGGACCGCGAGCUGGGUUUAGAACGUCAUGAGAUAGGUUAGUUUUACCCUACUGAUGGUUGAACUGUGUAAACAGUGAAGUAAAAUCUGGCCAUUGCAAUGGUAAUCAUGUUUAGUACGAGAGGAACCGCAGUUUCAGACAUUUGGUACAUGUGCCUGGUCGGUCGGCUAAUGGUGCGAAGUGACCAUCUGAGGGAUUAACACUGAAAGCCUCUAAGCCUGAAUUCCGUCAAGAGAUGCGCAACGAUACAGCUUGGCCUGCCGCAUGGUUUGGCAAAUAUAGUACUUUCCGGUCAGGUUUAAUUCUGGUGGGGCAUGCGUGCACUACUGAACAUGUUCAUCGAUUCUCGUGUUGCGUGACAGUGUGUUUCCUAGAUAAGCGAAGGUUUUCACAUUUUUGAGUUGAGCAUCGUAGACAUUGAUUUGGGGAGCAUUGUUUUCCUCACUGGGUGGCGGCUGGUGCAUGACAACC